rnacentral:rRNA from 1 species
AUUGAACGCUGGCGGCAGGCCUAACACAUGCAAGUCGAACGAGUGGCGGACGGGCGAGUAAUGUCUGGGAAACUGCCUGAUGGAGGGGGAUAACUACUGGAAACGGUAGCUAAUACCGCAUACCACCAUUUGUGCCUUCAUGGGAUUAGCUAGUGGGUGGGGUAACGGCUCACCAAGGAGACGAUCCCUAGCUGGUCUGAGAGGCUGACCGGCCACACUGGAACUGAGACACGGUCCAGACUCCGACGGGAGGCAGCAGGAGGGAAUAUUGCACAAUGGGCGCAAGCCUGAUGCAGCAAUGCCGCGUGUAUGAAGAAGGCCUUCGGGUUGUAAAGUACUUUCAGCGGGGAGGCGUUACCCGAAGAAGAAGCACCGGCUAACUCCGUGCCAGCCGCCGCGGUAAUAC